rfam:Triticum aestivum genome assembly, contig: Triticum_aestivum_CS42_TGACv1_scaffold_080552_1DS
UUCAUGCAGACACGGAGACACAAGUUAGAUGUGUAAUUUGCGUCUCAGGCGUUUAUGUGAUGUCACUCUUUUAGCCUUGGAGAUCUGAUGCAUUCU